UCAGGUUUUACUUGCAAACAUUAUCGGCUGCACGGCAUGAAGGUCAUUUUAUGGAAGGAACACAUAUCAGAUGUGACAAAGUUUGUAGGUAACAGACUCAGAAUAGUGGAGUUUCCUUAGUGCAUCCAGUAGAGAUGGACAGCAGCAAGAAAUGUCUAAAACUUUUAUGGAGAUUGUUUUAUUCACCCUGAUUUAAAAAAGAAAAACAAACCUUUCAGGAUUUCUGUAAGCUGGAGAGUUGGCU